CGCGUAGGCGGCGUGACAAGUCACUUGUGAAAUCUCCGGGCUUAACUCGGAACGGCCAAGUGAAACUGUCAUGCUAGAGUGCAGAAGGGGCAAUCGGAAUUCUUGGUGUAGCGGUGAAAUGCGUAGAUAUCAAGAGGAACACCUGAGGUGAAGACGGGUUGCUGGGCUGACACUGACGCUGAGGCGCGAAAGCCAGGGAGCAAACG
rnacentral:rRNA from 1 species